AGCUACGAUAAAGCAUGUUUUAACUAUUCAAAUUUAUGAAAAUUUCCAUUAUGCUAGUUAUUAUGCUUUACACUAUACUAUGAAGAAAUUGAAAUAUAUUUAAUAUGUAGCAUAUAUUAAAAAUACCACUACAAAGCCAUUCUUCGAUUCGAAAAAAGCUCGCCUCGUGCAGAAUGGGCUAACUACCGGUUUCCCCACCACCAGUCUCGAACAGCCGGUGGGGGUGAAUCGAUACAGCUACGAUACAACGAGUGAAGUCUCGAAACUCAAAAUAGGAAUGCGCACGCACCCCCUUCUAUCGGCGCUCUAUCGAGCCUUGAAACAAUGUAACAGCCAGCGAAUCAUUUCGUCGCGAAGAGGUGACUCUUUCAACUCUAUUCGCAACACGUAUAUUUUCACUGUUAACAGACGUCAUUUCCAACCAUCUCUAAGAAAAAAUUCAGGCUGGAUUGUCAGCACGUGUCCUGCUCGACUUUUUGAAAGACGAAGGCGGUCGUGAACAGAAGACAGGUCGAUAUAGCAGAGACUGUAACUCUUAUCGCAAGGAAGCCGGCGGCGGAAGAAGAAACAUCCCUCGUAAAUAUAGAAGGUAUAAAAGCUACCCUUUUGAUGGAGUGGGCUUUUAAGGGUCGGCCUGGUAUCGGACCGUUCGUUCACCGCAAGAUGACCAGAAGGAUCGAAUGGAGAGGCCGAAGGGUGAGCGGUCUGUGGACGUAGGAUACCCGGCGUGCUUAACGACCAUCGCUUUACGGGUUUCGUAUUUUGUUUAAAAUCUAACCAUAAAGUGGCCAUCGGUUCUAACCGUACUGUGGCAUUCGCUAUUACCAGUUUUAAUGCAUCAUUACACUACGUAUAUACCUAACCCACAUUCCCUAUCACCGGCUGAUAGCAUAGGAUAUGAGGCUAAAGAAGGUAUUCUGUAAAAUGGGAUUUUUUUUCAAAUGUCGUUAAGAUUCGUUUUAAUGAAAUUUCUAUUUAUUGCUGAGAUAUCGUACAGGGACGUUUAAUCGUGUAUCGUAAUAAAGUUGGCGCGAUCAGAGUUGACCGAUAGUCUAGAGGAAAUUAUCUUUUGGUAUUUUCAUUUAGUCGUAUCUUGUAGAGUAUCACAUAGCCCAUUUCAUAAAUAAUUAUCUACGAGGAAAUACAAAAUAUAGGAAAGUAUCAUCUAUGAUUUGUAAAUAAUUAAUUAGAUGCUUUGUUCUCUAAAAUAUGUUUUUUGAAGGCUGUCGACACAAUUUCUGAUAAUUUUUCGCUAAACGUAAUAAAUAUGUUGUAUAUAACUAAUGGAAUUAUUCUCUCUAUGUCGAGCAAUGUUUUUUAUUUUUUUAUUUGACAAAGGAGUAAAUUUGUACGUGAAAUAGCAUGUUAGAAACAGUCUGCUAUUUGUAAAUUAUAAUAUUUAUAUUUUAAAAUGUUGCGUAUAUGUACGUGUAUACGCUGCUUGCUACUGUUUAUACGAAGAGAAAAAGCUAUCGCAGUUGCUUCCAUUUUUAUUCGACAUAUAUCUUCGUCUAUUUGUCUCGUGAAACGAUUUCUCCAGAUAGUGUAUGAUGAUAGAAAGCAUCAUCGAAAUUCAGAAGGAAGCGUCACAAGGUAUUCCCAUUUCCGGCGCGCUUUCCCGCUCAUAUGGUAUAUAAGGAUAUCAACGAGGCGAUAGAGCUGUUCCCGCCUGGGGUGAAUAACUUAUGUUUACUCGCAUAAAUUCUCAUAUUCGGCGUCACUUAAACAUUCGGAAUUCGAUCGAAUUCAGGGAGUUUAACAUUUCCAAUCAUUCCAAUUGCCUCAUAUUUUCCAACAAUUUUCGUAUUGUAACUCAUUACUUGAUGUAUAGUUAUGAACAAUGCGGUAUUGUAGUUGGAAUUAUAUUAAAUCAGAUACCGAGAUAAUGAAUUUCACUGCAGUUCACGUUUUACUAAGCUCAAUCGUAUUGAUUAAAUACAACCGAAAUUUCGCUGCAAUUACAAAUGUUAAAUAAUAGACCUUAGUAUUUCUUUAUUAAAUUAUAUAAUUUACCGUACUUUUUAAUUUUCGUAAGAGAUAUUAAUAGGGAUAUUGCGAGCGAAAGUGGACUAAUCCCACUGCUCAAUGAACUAAAUAACUCACUGUCUAAAAUAGAUGUGAGCAUAAAAUAUUCAAUAUGCUUGAUCUCGUUAUAAUGUUUGUGUUUGAUUUUGAGAAAAAUGAAUUCCUUCGCUUUUGUAUGAUUAACAUAGUUUACUUGGAUAUAUUAAAGCUAUAAAGUUACAUUUAGAAAGAUAUAUUUACUUACAGACUUACAGUUACUUUAUUUUUGCUCUGAUAUUUCAUUCGUGAGGAAUAAGCUUCCUAGGUAGCAAUACGAGAUUCUUUAAUUCCAGUUUAUACGCGUCCAAUCUUCGGAGCGGUAAGAAAAAUAUUACGUUAAUAUCCCAGAUGCAUCGUAAAGGUGACAGACGGACGUAUAUCGAAGCGGACACACCGGCAAGACAUUAUAUUUUUGGAAAGCAACCAGCCGCUCCGGAGCUUACGGUGGCCAUAAAGCUGUUUUAUUUCCACCGAGCGGUUUUAAAAUUCCACUCCUGAAAUGGCGUGCGCAAGGUAAGGGUAGAGCAGCGAGGGAAAGUAUCGUACAGACGGCGAAAAGAAGCGAGAACGCGAAUCAAGACGACUUCAGAGGACGAACGUACGAACGCAGGCUCACGAGUAAAAAAUAUAAAUGUUGGCUCCCCUUUUAGUUGUGAAUUCGAGAGGGUUGGACAUUCAUACAUAUGGGGCCAAUUUACAAAAAUUAUUCAGACACCAGACGAUCGUAAACGCGUAUCAUUGUCGAAGGAUUUGAGAGAUUUCGAAGAGAACACAAGCGGAAAGAUGGAGGAAUCGAGUGCUAGGCUUUGUGAAAGAUGUAGACACUUGGCUCAAGUAUUUCCAUUUCGCGAAACAGUGCCACGUUCGAGAAAUUCACGAUGAGAAAUAGAUGACUUCGCUCACCUCUGUAAAUGAGCAGUGCUGAAAUGUUCCUGACGUAAAACGAGGACGUAAAAAUAAAUUCGAGAAAUAUACCUGAUAAUUUUCCACGUUUCACGACAAGUCGGGGUUAAAUUUCCAUGCGACCCGAAUUAAACAAGUUUUUUUUAUAUUCCGUUCGUCGCGAAAGAAACGAGAAUAAACUGCACAUUUUUAAUCCAAAAGAUACAAUUUGUCAAAUUUCGAAGAGAAAGUUUUUCACGACGUUGGAAAGUCUAUCCCCAAAAUCUACAGUCGGUCUUUCCUCUUUAAAAAGAGCUUUAAUUCGAUGGCGUAUUUUUGGCAAGUGUAUCGGUAGAUUUCAAAUAGUUUACCAUUUGACGUUUUCAUCGGGUUAUAUUGCUUUAUAUCUACAAAUAUAUGUACAAAACUUUGUUUUACCAAAAUAAAAUAAUUUUGUGGAAAAUUUAGAAAAUAUAAUGAAACGAUAGAAAUUUAAUUCAGUUAAUUCAGAGUAUAUUCAUUUACUGUAAAUUGAAACAUAUGUUCAUAAUACAACUAUCAACUUUUAAAUGCUCUAUAUAAGGUUUUCCUAUUAUUUCAUAAACAUGAUCAUUUAUAUACAAUUACCCUCAGUUGUACAAUCUUUUUCUGAUUUCCUUUGUAUCUUUUUACGAGACGUAGUUUACGUAGAAAAAAAAUACACUUGAUUAUAUCUUGACAAAAGGAUAAAAGAAUAUUCGUACCGUAAAAUAUCAAAGUAAGCAUAAAGCAGUACUUGGUAUUUCACCUCGCCUCUCUAUUUGUAUAUUAUAUUUCCGGGCAUUCAACGUAACUUCCCGUUAUAUUCGUGCGUUGUAUAAGGGGUACAGCCACGAUCGCGACCUGUCUAGCAUUCAGUGAAACAAGUCAGUAAUCGCUUUUAUCGCUGAUUCCGCUUACACGAUGCCCAUGGAGGCGGCUGGAGGCCGCGCCGUUCUCGCUCGAACUUCCACUAAUCGUUGUUACGUAAACUUCGCACAAAACGCGAAGCGCUGUUAUUAUUAUAACUUUCAAUAAUCGUCCCCGUAUAAAUUUGUCAGAAAAUGCCCGGCCAGAAUGUUAUCUCGGCAACUUCGCCGCCUGUAUAUUCCGCUUCGAAUUCAUAACAACUUUCCAAGUCACAGCGAAGCUAGGCCGGGCAAUAAAUUCAUCUAUGAAACGGCCUGUAUAGCGAGGCAGUACCCUCGUGGUUAUUUCAGUUUUCGCCGGUGUGGAUUGUUCGCCCGAACAGCAGAGGAGGCACGAAUGCACUAAAUAAAUAAAGUAACAACGCGUGGAAGGGCGCAGUGCUGAGACUCGAAAAGUAAAGGAAAGAAUCGCCGCUGCCUGGCGCGCGCGCGCGCGCCACAAAUGCAGGAAGAACACAGAGAGGAAGGCUAGAGAAAGAGCACAGAGACAGCGAUGCUGGUUCGAAAGAAAGGGUGGGACGAAGAAGCGACGAAACCCCGCGGGUCACUCGUCCGACUUUGCGAAAUAAAAACUCGCUUUACGGCCAGCUUUUAUUGCGGCCUCAACGUUUCUUUUGUAUCCCUUUCGUAGCGCGCUACAGUGGCUUUCAAUCGGUUCAACGAAUACAUAGUUUACCAAUGGUCUCCUCGGGAAUACCGCGCUUCCCUUUUUCCCGACAGCUUCUAUCCUUUGCCCUCUUUUGCCUCUUAUUUCCCAUCCAUGUCGUGCCGCCUCUUUAUUCCUUCGCUGUUGUUUUUUAACCCCCGCAAACUGGAGGAGAGUUCUCUCUCUCCCACUCAUUCACUCAGUCUUCACGAUCGUUCUUAAACGAAGCCGAACUCUUGUGAUUCUUUGAUUCCGUCCAUUGCGCUUUCUUAACCCAUGGAAGUAACUUGAAUUGCAGGAUUGUUUGAGGUAAUUAAAUCUUCCUGAAGUAAUCAGAUUGCCGUUUCUGAGGCAACCGGCACUGAGGAAUAAUAUCGCGGCCGAGAUCCGUUCGUGUUGAUUACUAUCGGCAGAAAAAUUAAUACUCGGCCGUUUGGUGAAUAAGCGUAGAGGAACUUUUGCAGCGUUUUGUAUUAGAUUCAGGUGGAAAAUGUCACGCAAUGUUGCAUACAUGGUAGGAAUAUUAAUCGAAUUAUAAGUUCUAAAGAGGAUUGAAGAUUCCAAAAUGAGUCCGUGAAGAUAACAAGAGUGCGUGUGUUUCUUUCUAGCUGUAUCGUGAUUUAUUUGAGUUUGCGAUGAUUUAAUUAUAAAAUUACAUACUUGUAAUAAUCUGACGAUAAAAAAGUCAAAUAUAGAAGGAGAUUCUAUACCAUUAUCGAAUUUCUAUCCACUUGGAGUUAGUUUGGAUAUCGUCACACCUACUUCAACUGAAAACGUGUUAAGGGUGCAAUGGAAGGGUGCUCAUGAUAUUCAUUAGGCACGUAGAUUGGUAAUUAGAAUUUUCAGCAAAAAUUAAUUAGUGCAAUAUCGAGUUACAGCUAGCUUAAAAUCAAAGCUACAAUUUAAAUUAAGGAAUUGCUUAAUAAUCAUCUGUACACAUGCUUGUGAAAUCCUGAAACUUGAACAUUAACAAUGGAAGUUAAUUGACGGUAAAUGGAAAUUUACAUUACUAAGAUCUUACUUUUAGACGAGUUAAAAAUUCUUAUUUGUUAUCAUUAUUUCACACAUUUUUCUAAAAUUCGUGAUUUGUAUAAAUAACCUUACGAGUACUCUUAUACGAUGUGCUAAUUUCACCAAGGCUCGUCUAGGUUUGUUGGAACAUUCACAAAUAGGAAUGGCAGAUACCUAUGCGAAAAAAUUUAGAAGAAUUUCUCGUUCUGGUUAGCUUUGAUCAAGUGAAGAUUAAUUUCUCAUGGUUAAUUUGGCAAUUAAUUUGCCAAGAGGAAAAGUGGUUCUUACAUCAAGUUGAAGGAGGGCCUGUCAAGAACACUGAUUGAAAUGUAGGGUAGAAAAGCCUCGGGCGGAGGAUUCGAGGGUAGAAUAUUGGGGUGGUUGGGCAAAAGUGUCAGGCGCGCGAUUUAAAGUGGCUAACAGCAUACCGUAUCGCAAAAAUGAUACUUCAUUCUAAAAGAAAAUGUUUGUCGCAAUAACCUGGAAAUUCGUAAAAUGAAAUACAUUGCAACCAUUGAAACGUUUAACAUAUUAUUUUCUUCAAUUUGCGUUGUACAUAAAUAAUUCUGAGUGAAUUUCUGUAAUGUGUGCCCAUUCUUACCAUUCUCCUUGCUUUGUUUUUAUAUCGAACUCGCAAAGUUUUGGUCCAAUACACCUCACAAAAAAUCUUCGCUUAUUGCUCAAGAGUGGAGACUAUUUCUGCCAGUUUACUGAAACAACAGGGAACGCACGCUAGAUUUCAGUGUGACUUUCUUCGUAUUUUUCUGGAUGUAAUAAACGAGUGGCGUUUGCUGCGGAGUUCGCAAUUAAACCCUAUAUACGUAGCGUACAUGCCACAUGCACCGAGCACACUCUAGGCGCGGAGGGCAGGUAAAGCCCGUUUGUUUUGGAAAUUGCGUUAAUUUGCCAAGCGCAGACCGGCUGAUUUUGUGAGUGACGUCGCAAUCACUGCGCAAUCACCGGAAACGAACGAAUCGCGGAGGUGAACCACCGUGGUUAUGUAUACCAGCGCGAUCGUACGCGUGCAGUUUCGCUUUAACAAUCGAAUUCUUGGAAUAGCUAUGUCGUGGAACAAAGGAUUCCGAUAAUAUUCCUAUAUACUAGGUCUGGAAGUUUCGUGUAUCGCGAAAUUAAAGAUUUUCAGCUGCAAAAUCCGUUAAAUUCAAGGAAUUGCUGAGUUUACAGUUUACAUGUUUGUACAAAGAAGUUUAAAAAUUACGAACAUCGAGAUUUCAAAGACAAGAGUUUGGGAAUUUGAGAUUACGAUAUUGUAUAACAGCAUAAUUCAAGCUUCUUUUCAACCAGAAAGUUAUUUUUACUUUAAAUAUACAUAAUAAUACUAAUAGUAUGUACAUACAUAAUUUAUAAUAUACACAAUUAUGAAGAAAUUAUACUACGUUCAAAGUAAAUGAUCUAAAGUAAGCAAAUAGUUUUAAACAUUAUCACGAACCUAUAAUGCAUUAAUUAGCAAUGGUCAUAAAGAAAAAAUAGCCGAAUUUAUUCUAAUUCCAGUUAGAAUCGAAAAUGUUGAUAUUCGUAAUUAAGUUAAAAUUAUAUAACAAAUCCUAAUCAUACGUAAAAAGGGAAAUUAACCAAAAAAGGAUGCACGGAAACUGUUUAAGAUUGUCUGCCAGGUGAACGCAUAGCAGAUUUAGUAAUUAGCAUUUUCGCUACGUCAAGUCUUGAAUACAUUAUUUCAUGAAAACAUCGUUGUAAUUACAAUGGCGUGGGUAAAGAGUAGGUUGUAAUAACGUAGAAGAGAAUGUUAUGGUAAAAUCCAGAGUGUCACCCUAGCAAUUAAUCAUCUAUUAAUUGGCAAGAAAACGUGUUUGUCAUCCUAUGAAAUUACUUGAUCUUCAAGAGACCAGACUAUUGGCAAGUUAAACGUUGUUGCUCAUUAUUUAUAAUUAAUUAAUGCCCACCUCUUUGCACGUGAAUCACCUACCUUCCAACUUGGAAUGCAGUGCAUCGUUUUCUUCCCUGUUCUUUUAUAUGCAAGCGACAAAACUACACAGUAAUUCAGCGAUGCAAGAGUACAUACAUGGUAUGUACAAAUAAAAUAUGUAAUUAUGAGCAAAUUAAAUACGUAUUUAGAUAUUAUGUAUUAAGUAUUACGUGCGUAAAUAUUAAACAUUAUUUAGCAGAAUAUAUACGUAGAAUAUAUGAAAUUAAAUCGACAUUCAUGUGAAUGUAAAUCAAGACAGAAUCCAAACCGUUAUAAUAUUGCAAUUCGAGAUAAAAUUGUGAAAGAAAUUAACGUUGAAUGCUCCUAAUUCCGAAUGCAAGUCACAGCUGUAAUGAAAAGGGAAAAAAUGUAUCUUCAUGCUUACUAUAAAAAAUUUCUCUUUUAGGUAUACGGGUCAGCGUAAAGGCUUUAAAAAUUACACGGGUAUUCUAAAUAUAACUUGAAUAACAGAAAUAAAGGAAUGAAGUCACAUUUUCUUUAUAAUUUAAUUUAUAAUUACAUAAUCAGUAAUUAAUAUGUUGCAACUAUACAUAGCGAAAUCGUGUCUUUAUCUGCACUUCCGUAAUUAAACUGUAUUUUAUUGAAAGCAGUAAAUGUUCUAAUGCGAUGUAGUGUACGCGUGUGUUGUGCUUGUAUAAUAUAAAGCAACCGAAGUGUAAUCGAAUCUAGUAUGAAUUUCUCAGUAAAAUUGGGAACACCUAUGGUUUAGCUGCGGCAUAUAAAUCGCAUGGGAAAUUUAUUUAACUUAGCAGAAAGUUCAGCGUACAAAAUGCGAGGACCGUGUUAAAUGCAAAACAGCGGAGGUUUUCGUAACAAGUGACAUAAUAAGAAUUAAUUUACUUCAACAGAACGUACAGCGUACGUUCUUGUAAUCAAUGUACGUACGUACGUACGUUCAUCCACAGUUUCUAUGAAUUCAAUUAGAUUAAAUAAUAUGUAAGGUUUGUUAAGGAGUAAAAUUGCGUGUAAAACUGAUGGUACUGAAAGCAGAAUAAGUACUGGGAUAAAUUGAAAUGGGGAAGGAAGUCAAAAUUGUACGUACAAAGACGAGCAAUUUCUUCAGAAGCAUAUUAAGAUGAAAGCAAAGAAUAGAGAUCAGAUUUCGAAACAUUAAUAAGUUAAUAAUAAUACAAUUAAAAACAAAAACAUAUUCGUUAAUAAGUGUGUUAGAUAAUAUUAAGUGAUAAUAUUAAUACUAAACGAUACGAUAAUAAUGUUAAUAAUUCUGAUGUAUGACAAAUUUCAAAUAUCUUAGAAUUGUUAAGAUAAAAAAAUCAUGCAAAACUGACAUUGUUAAUUAAAAUCGUUAAUAAUUA